GGGUGCGUAGCUCAGCUGGAUAGAGCAUCUGCCUUCUAAGCAGACGGUCAAAGG
rnacentral:tRNA from 1 species